rnacentral:rRNA from 1 species
GACGAACGCUGGCGGCGUGCCUAAUACAUGCAAGUUGAGCGCUGAAGGUUGGUACUUGUACCAACUGGAUGAGCAGCGAACGGGUGAGUAACGCGUGGGGAAUCUGCCUUUGAGCGGGGACAACAUUUGGAAACGAAUGCUAAUACCGCAUAAAAACUUUAAACACAAGUUUUAAGUUUGAAAGAUGCAAUUGCAUCACUCAAAGAUGAUCCCGCGUUGUAUUAGCUAGUUGGUGAGGUAAAGGCUCACCAAGGCGAUGAUACAUAGCCGACCUGAGAGGGUGAUCGGCCACAUUGGGACUGAGACACGGCCCAAACUCCUACGGGAGGCAGCAGUAGGGAAUCUUCGGCAAUGGACGAAAGUCUGACCGAGCAACGCCGCGUGAGUGAAGAAGGUUUUCGGAUCGUAAAACUCUGUUGGUAGAGAAGAACGUUGGUGAGAGUGGAAAGCUCAUCAAGUGACGGUAACUACCCAGAAAGGGACGGCUAGCUACGUG